AGUAGAUGUAACUCAAGUGGUUCGGGAACUGCUUCCUGUUUUGCCUGGAAUCUCUGUGACAGUAUUGCCGGAUAUUAUGAGUCGGCUUGGGUCAAGAGUAAUGGCUAGAAUAGUUCGAGAUACCUUUUUGUAAAUACUGUUGAGCUUUAGUAUAAUUGUGCCUAUAAGUUGCAUUCUAAAGUACCUAAAAAGAUAUACUAGGAUGAUACCCGCGUUGAAACGCGGUUUUUUUUUAACUUAACCAAUAAAAAUUAUGUAUUAUAUACAAUAGAUUUGUUGUAUUAUUUAAUUUAUUUUAUUUUUAAUUUAAUAUUUGUUCAAUAAAUUAUUCAGGUAAAUUUAUGAGAAAAAGACUAGGAUAGCACCAAACCAAGUUUUUGUUCCCAAAGUAGCACUCAAGGCUCAAAAUCACAAAAAUAGGUUUUAUUAAAGAGGUAAAUAUACACUUAGGUGGGGGUAUUGGUUCUUGAAGUUUGAUGGAAUUUAAAGGAAAUAUAGUUUCUAUUAAAUUCUACUGUUAUUCAAUUAUGAAUUUCAUCAAUUCUUUCACAUUCUUGUGUUAUUGAAUUAAAGAUUUCUAUUCUGAUUUAUAAUUACUUUAAAUUCUACUGUUAUUCAAUAUUUGAUAGAUUUUGUAGUAAUGUCAAUUGAAAAGAAUUUAAUGGAAAAUGUAUUGUCAAUAUGUAAAGAAGCAAUUCCUUAAUUUUAUGAUGAGAUUUGUCAUCCUAGUAAAAUUCUAACGGUGGUAGUAUAACAAAUAUACCGAUAUUUUGAUUUGUACUCCCACCUAAAAACAAAACAAGCGAAUAACAGAAAUAUCUUUUGUAAAUGUUUUCAGAAAAUCCCUACAAAUUAGUACUUAUCAAAACUUCAAAUUGUUGUUGACAAUAAUCAAAUAACUAGAUCUCGACCCGCACAACCGUGCGGAUGAUUAUUUUUAUAUACAUAAUUAUUUAUUUUACAUGGCUAACUAUAAUAUUUAACAUAUUACAAAUUGUUUAAUAUAACAUUUUAGAGUGAAUAUACCGUGACUUUAUUCGCAAGUAAUCUUGUAUAUUAAUUGUAGAAUAUUUUAAAUAAGUUGGUAUGGUUAAUUGUAUCGUAGAUAUGCAUAUCUUGAUAUAUUAGAGGAUAUUCUUCUUAGUUGUUUCGAUAUUUUAUUGCUAAAUUUUAGGACAUUUCAAAUCAGAUUUGAGGGGAAGUUAUAAUUCGAUAAUAUUGUUAGAAUAUCUUUUUUUGAACGUUAUUGUAACAUGAUAAUGUGUAAAUUAGUUGUUUCGAUAUAAGAAAUAAUAUAUAAAAUAUAUCUUAUUUUAUUGUUGCAACAGAAACUUGGUUUUGAAAAAUCUUGUGCGGAUAAUUACUUGGACUGCACAUACGAUAUAUUGGCUAGAUGGUGAUAUGAUAUAUUACCUCUGUCUAAAUGGACCUAAUGAUAUAUUGGCUAGAUGGUGAUAUGAUACGACGGGUUUGAUGGUUCUUUUCAGGUGAGCAUGUUUAAUUUUUACGUGAAACUGACAAAAGCAAUCUGAAACAGAGGUUUUAUGGACUAUUUUAGGUGAAAUUGUCGAGCUGUUAACGACAUGUACAUUAACAAACCAGAACUGUAGAACAGAACUAAACAUAAACGAAAAUAUAUUAGUCUAUGAAGGAAAAUGAUUUCAAAACGAUGGAUUGUGUUUUAUGUUUUAGAUGGUUUACAUUUGCACUAUAUAACGGAUUUCAAAAUGAUUGUUGUGUGGGUCAAAAUUUAUAACCACUCCAAUUUUAUAGGAUCCGAUUAAUAUUAGGAAUGAUAUAUUAUGAAGCCAUAUUAUUAGAAGAUAAAUGAAUGAUAACUGAUUUCUAGGAAUAAGUCCAAUAGGUCCAUUUUUUAAAAUAUCACACAUGAAUCAAGGUUGUGACUUCUGUUUUAAUAUAUAAGAUAUAUAAGCCAUAGAUUCCAAUAAAUUCAUCUAGUGAGUAUAAUGAUUAUCAAGCAGGGACUUGUAGGACCAUUGUGUACCUCAGGUCUACCCACUGCUUAACUAGAUCUAUUGUAAGAUAAGCAAAACUUUUGGCCACCAAAAUACUUCAUCAUGUCAAUUUCUUUUUGACUCUGUCUGUGCUGUUUUCUGGUCAUUCUACAUUGUAGAAUCUACACAAUUUUCAUGUUUUAAGAAGUGAAAAUGUUGUAUAUUUGAAUUCUUCUUGUUAACAGUGGUGCUGUUUUUGUGCUACAGUUGCUUGAUACUGGCUUUUUCCAUGCUGACCCUCAUCCUGGAAAUAUGAUCCGUACCCCAGACGGAAAGCUUGCCAUCCUUGAUUUCGGUAAUGAUUCUAGUUCUAGAGUCACAUUCAGUUGUGUCUGAGAAAAUCCUUUUGUUGACAUUUUAUUUUUCUAUCCAUUGGCAGGUCUUGUUACGAAGUUGACUGAUGAUCAGAAGUAUGGGAUGAUUGAAGCCAUUGCACACUUAAUUCACAGAGAUUAUGAUGCCAUAGUAAAAGAUUUUGUCAAACUUGGUUUCAUCCCUGAUGGGGUCAAUCUGGCACCUAUAUUACCUGUCCUGGCCAAGGUUUUUGACCAGGCACUUGAAGGUGGAGGAGCUAAAAACAUCAACUUUCAGGAGUUGGCUGCAGAUUUGGCGCAGAUAACUUUUGACUAUCCUUUCAGAAUCCCUCCUUAUUUCGCCCUUAUAAUUAGAGCAAUUGGUGUGCUCGAAGGGAUAGCUCUAGUCGGGAAUCCUGAAUUUGCUAUUGUGGACGAGGCUUAUCCUUAUAUCGCUCAGGUAUUUUUAUAUGAACUCUGUAACUUUUAUCUAACCCACCGUCUUUCAUUGGACCUUUACAAAAUACUGAUUGUUAUUGUCUUCAUGUGAUUACUUUAAUACUUAGAGGCUCCUGACCGAUGAAUCUCCUCGCCUGAGGGAGGCUUUACGCUACACAAUAUAUGGGAAGACUGGCGGUUUUGAUGCUGAGAGAUUCAUCGAUGUGAUGCAAGCCUUUGAGACUUUCAUUACAGCAGCCAAAAGUGGAGGAGGAGAAGAUAUGAACGGGGGCAUGGCUGAGCUGGCUCUUCUGCAAAACCAGACAAGCAGUCGGGUUCCUAUGUUUCCAGCCAGUGCAUCCCAACCAAACCAGCCAGCUCAAACGCGAGUCGCUUUGUCUUUUCUGCUUUCCGAGAAAGGAAACUUCUUCCGCGAGUUUCUACUGGAUGAGGUACUCACUAACAAAAUCUAACCACUUAUUUCGCCUUGUCAGAAAAAUACUCUGAACUAAUUAAAAAAUGAAUGUGAAUCUAGACAAUUAACUUGUUGACAAGCUCAGAGCUACUUAUUCAUGGUGUCCUGAGUUCUGACAGAUGUUGUGAUUACUGAAAACAGAUAGUAAAAGGCAUCGAUGCAAUCACAAGAGAACAGCUGGUGCAAGCAAUGGCGGUCUUUGGAUUCAGAAACGCACCACCAAUUUUCGGUAUGGUACCUUCACUAGGACCUUUCAGACCUGCAGGACUUCUUCCAUCUGUAACAGAAGAAGACAAAGUCAUCUUGAACAAUGUUCAGAAAGUAAUCGAGUUCCUUACUGGAAGAAGCUCCAUGUCGAAUAAUCCCAAUCAGGUUAGUUUCUCUUGGACCUUCUCAUAUAAUUCUGUAUUACCAGAGUACUGAACUUGUGUGUGUUCAUUAUCAUAAAACAGGUAGUAGAUGUAACUCAAGUGGUUCGGGAACUGCUUCCUGUUUUGCCUGGAAUCUCUGUGACAGUAUUGCCGGAUAUUAUGAGUCGGCUUGGGUCAAGAGUAAUGGCUAGAAUAGUUCGAGAUACCUUUUUGUAAAUACUGUUGAGCUUUAGUAUAAUUGUGCCUAUAAGUUGCAUUCUAAAGUACCUAAAAAGAUAUACUAGGAUGAUACCCGCGUUGAAACGCGGUUUUUUUUUAACUUAACCAAUA
rnacentral:lncRNA from 1 species